rnacentral:rRNA from 1 species
AUGAAGCAUUUGCCCCUCAUGUUGGAAGGUUCUGCCAGAGCAUGGUUGAAUCAGUUACCUCCUAGCAGCAUUUACACUUGGGAAGAUCUGUCCCGAGUGUUCGUCAGAACGUUUGAAGGAACUUGCAAGCGACCGGCUAGAUUGACGGAGCUGCAAGUCUGUGUACAGAAGACAGAGACUCUCAGAGAGAAUAUUCAGAGAUGGAUCACUUUGCACCAUACCGUGGAGAACGUGUCUGACCAUCAGGCAGUUUGCGCCUUCAAGGAUGGCGUCAAGAACAGAGAAUUGAGUCUGAAAUUUGGUCGAACCGGAGACAUGACCCUGAGUCGGAUGAUGGAGAUUGCUACCAAGUACACCAACGGCGAAGAAGAAGACCGACUCCGAAGCGGCAAGUACAAGCCGAGUCAGUCGGAGAAGGGAAACACCAGUCGGAAACAGAAGCGGAAGGCUGAACCGGCAGCUCCUGGAGAGGCUCUGGCCGUGACUCAGGGAAAGUUCAAAGGGAAACCAAAAGGAUCCUGGAACCCUAAGAAGGUGAAGGAUAAAGAAGGGAACGACGUGAUGGAUAUGCCGUGUCACAUCCACACGAAGAAAGAUGAAGAGGGCAAUAUCAUUUACCCGAAGCAUACCACUCGCCAAUGUCGACUCCUGAUCCAGCAGUUUCAAGGAAAACAGUCUAAGGACAAGAAAAAGGAGUCGGACAAGGCCGAAGACAAGGAGGACAGUGAGGAAAGAUAUCCGCAUGUCAACUCCACUCUGAUGAUCUUCGCAGAUGUGGAAAGCAAGAGCCGAUUGAAGGUCAUUAAUCGUGAGGUGAACAUGGUUGCCCCAGCAAAACCAAGUUAUCUGAGAUGGUCCCAAACACCCAUCACAUUCGACCAAUCUGAUCACCCGACUCAUAUUGCCACCCCUGGGAGGCAAGCUUUGGUGGUCGAUCCAGUUGUCGAAGGCACUCGACUGACAAAAGUGCUGAUGGACGGUGGUAGUGGGCUGAACUUGUUGUACGCAGACACACUGAAAGGAAUGGGCAUUCCGAUGUCCCGACUGAGCACCAGUAACAUGAGCUUUCAUGGAAUUAUACCAGGGAAGAAAGCCGAGUCACUCGGCCAAAUAGCUCUGGACGUGGUGUUCGGUGAUUCAAAACAUUUUCGCAAAGAGAAGUUGACGUUUGAGGUCGUGGAUUUUCAGAGUGCGUACCACGCCAUUUUGGGGAGGCCAGCUUACGCACGGUUCAUGGCUCGACCAUGUUACAUGUACCUCAAACUGAAGAUGCCCGGCCCGAAAGGAGUGAUCACUGUCACCGGUGAUAGAAAAAAGGCAGAAGAGUGCUUUCAGAAGGGCUCAAAGAUUGCCGACUCCCAGGUGACAGCGGUCGAGUUUGAAGAAUAUAAACAAAGCGCAGACCUGAGUGAUUUGCUGCGGUCCAAGAAGCCCGCCACAGAAUCUGCAUUUCAGUCGUCCGGUGAGACGAAGCCUGUCAACAUUCACCCGACCGAUCCCAAUGCAACCCCGACCCACAUCUCCACCACACUCGACCCGAAAUAG